AUUGAACGCUGGCGGCAGGCCUAACACAUGCAAGUCGAACGGUAACAGGAAGAAGCUUGCUUCUUUGCUGACGAGUGGCGGACGGGUGAGUAAUGUCUGGGAAACUGCCUGAUGGAGGGGGAUAACUACUGGAAACGGUAGCUAAUACCGCAUAACGUCGCAAGACCAAAGAGGGGGACCUUCGGGCCUCUUGCCAUCGGAUGUGCCCAGAUGGGGUUAGCUAGUAGGUGGGGUAACGGCUCACCUAGGCGACGAUCCCUAGCUGGUCUGAGAGGAUGAACAGCCCCACUGGAACUGAGACACGGUCCAGACUCCUACGGGAGGCAGCAGUGGGGAAUAUUGCGCAAUGGGGGCAAGCCUGAUGCAGCCAUGCCGCGUGUAUGAAGAAGGCCUUCGGGUUGUAAAGUACUUUCAGCGGGGAGGAAGGGAGUAAAGUUAAUACCUUUGCUCAUUGACGUUACCCGCAGAAGAAGCACCGGCUAACUCCGUG
rnacentral:rRNA from 1 species